rnacentral:rRNA from 1 species
UGGGGAAUCUUCCGCAAUGGACGAAAGUCUGACGGAGCAACGCCGCGUGUAUGAUGAAGGUCUUCGGAUUGUAAAGUACUGUCAUUGGGGAAGAACGGUUUUCUUGAGAAUAUUGAGAAGACAUGACGGUACCCAAGGAGGAAGCCCCGGCUAACUACGUGCCAGCAGCCGCGGUAAUACGUAGGGGGCAAGCGUUGUCCGGAAUUAUUGGGCGUAAAGGGCGCGUAGGCGGGCCUUUAAGUCCGGUGUGAAAGAUCAGGGCUCAACCCUGAGAGUGCAUCGGAAACUGGAGGCCUUGAGGACAGGAGAGGAAAAGUGGAAUUCCACGUGUAGCGGUGAAAUGCGUAGAUAUGUGGAGGAACACCAGUGGCGAAAGGCGACUUUCUGGACUGUAACUGACGCUGAGGCGCGAAAAGCGUGGGGAGCAAAACAGGAUUAGAUACCCUGGUAGUCCACGCCGUAAACGAUGAGUGCUAGGUGUAGAGGGUAUCGACCCCUUCUGUGCCGCAGUUAACACAAAUAAGCACUCCGCCUGGGGAGUACGGCCGCAAGGUUGAAAACUCAAAAUGAAUUGACGGGGGUCAUAGCUGUUUUCCU